rnacentral:rRNA from 1 species
ACCUGAUCAGCCAUGCCGCGUGUGUGAAGAAGGCCUUUUGGUUGUAAAGCACUUUAAGCAGUGAAGAAGACUCUUCGGUUAAUACCCGGAGACGAUGACAUUAGCUGCAGAAUAAGCACCGGCUAACUCUGUGCCAGCAGCCGCGGUAAUACAGAGGGUGCAAGCGUUAAUCGGAAUUACUGGGCGUAAAGCGAGCGUAGGUGGCUUGAUAAGUCAGAUGUGAAAUCCCCGGGCUUAACCUGGGAACUGCAUCUGAAACUGUUAGGCUAGAGUAGGUGAGAGGGAAGUAGAAUUUCAGGUGUAGCGGUGAAAUGCGUAGAGAUCUGAAGGAAUACCGAUGGCGAAGGCAGCUUCCUGGCAUCAUACUGACACUGAGGCUCGAAAGCGUGGGUAGCAAACAGGAUUAGAUACCCUGGUAGUCCACGCCGUAAACGAUGUCUACUAGUCGUUGGGUCCCUUGAGGACUUAGUGACGCAGCUAACGCAAUAAGUAGACCGCCUGGGGAGUACGGCCGCAAGGUUAAAACUCAAAUGAAUUGACGGGGGCCCGCACAAGCGGUGGAGCAUGUGGUUUAAUUCGAUGCAACGCGAAGAACCUUACCUGGUCUUGACAUAUCUAGAAUCCUGCAGAGAUGCGGGAGUGCCUUCGGGAAUUAGAAUACAGGUGCUGCAUGGCUGUCGUCAGCUCGUGUCGUGAGAUGUUGGGUUAAGUCCCGCAACGAGCGCAACCCUUGUCCUUAGUUACCAGCGGGUUAAGCCGGGAACUCUAAGGAUACUGCCAGUGACAAACUGGAGGAAGGCGGGGACGACGUCAAGUCAUCAUGGCCCUUACGACCAGGGCUACACACGUGCUACAAUGGUAGGUACAGAGGGCAGCUACACAGCGAUGUGAUGCGAAUCU